CCAAUAGCGUAUAUUAAAGUUGUCGCAGUUAAAAAGCUCGUAGUUGAAUUUCGGGAUCAUCAGGUUGGUCGUGCCUCUGGUAUGUACUGAUUUCGAUGGUUCCUCCUUCUUGAAGAACCGUAAUGCCAUUAAUUUGGUGUUGCGGGGAAACAGGACUGUUACUUUGAAAAAAUUAGAGUGUUUAAAGCAGGCAAUCGCUUGAAUACAUUAGCAUGGAAUAAUGAAAUAGGACGUUCGAUCCUAUUUUGUUGGUUUCUAGGAUUGACGUAAUGAUUAAUAGGGAUAGUUGGGGGCAUUAGUAUUCAAUUGUCAGAGGUGAAAUUCUUGGAUUUAUUGAAGACUAACUACUGCGAAAGCAUUUGCCAAGGAUGUUUUCAUUAAUCAAGAACGAAAGUUAGGGGAUCGAAGACGAUCAGAUACCGUCGUAGUCUUAACCAUAAACUAUGCCGACUAGGGAUCGGAUGAUGUUAAUUUUUUAAUGACUCAUUCGGCGCCUUACG
rnacentral:rRNA from 1 species